rnacentral:rRNA from 1 species
UACGAGGGGUGCAAGCGUUGCUCGGAAUUAUUGGGCGUAAAGGGUAGGUAGGUGGUCUCAUUUGUCUGGGGUGAAAGCCUUGGGCUUAACUCAAGAAGUGCCCCGGAAACGGUGAGACUAGAGUGCUGGAGAGGGUCGUGGAAUUCCCGGUGUAGCGGUGAAAUGCGUAGAGAUCGGGAGGAACACCAGAGGCGAAGGCGGCGACCUGGACAGCUACUGACACUCAACUACGAAAGCGUGGGGAGCAAACAGG